AGUUUGAUCAUGGCUCAGGAUGAACGCUGGCGGUAUGCUUAACACAUGCAAGUCGAACGGAUGUCUUCGGACAUUAGUGGCGGACGGGUGAGUAACGCGUGAGAAUCUGCCUACAGAAUGGGGAUAACGUCGGGAAACUGACGCUAAUACCGAAUGAGCCGAGAGGUAAAAGAUUUAUCGUCUGUAGAUGAGCUCGCGUCUGAUUAGCUAGUUGGGGAGGUAAUGGCUCACCAAGGCGACGAUCAGUAACUGGUCUGAGAGGAUGACCAGUCACACUGGGACUGAGACACGGCCCAGACUCCUACGGGAGGCAGCAGUGGGGAAUUUUCCGCAAUGGGCGCAAGCCUGACGGAGCAAUACCGCGUGCGGGAGGAAGCUUUUUGGAGUGUAAACCGCUUUUCUCAGGGAAGAUGAUGACGGUACCUGAGGAAUCAGCAUCGGCUAACUUCGUGCCAGCAGCCGCGGUAAUACGAGGGAUGCAAGCGUUAUCCGGAAUUAUUGGGCGUAAAGCGUUCGUAGGUGGCUAAGUUAGUCUGUCGUUAAAGCGUGGAGCUUAACUCCAUACCGGCGAUGGAAACUGCUUGGCUAGAGUAUGGUAGGGGUAAGAGGAAUUCCCAGUGUA
rnacentral:rRNA from 1 species